GUGAAAGGUUUCCUGGAACCUCCCUAGAAGACCAGUCAUUUAUCUGCAGGGAAGCCCUGAAACAGCCUGAGAGUGUGUGCUUCUCAGGUAUAGUCAACGUGCAAAGAGCCCCAGGCACCCAUGCAAGAACCUUCCCUUGGGCCAUUUACUGAACACUGGGAAGACAACUACAGCCAAGUGGGCUGGAGGGAGAGCUCUUCUGGUCAAUGCCUUUUAAACAAUCAUCAGAAAAGCUUCAGCCAAACUUCCUGUGAACUUCCUUUAAUCACACAUCCUUUGGACUCAUUAAGUCUUAUCUGUGACAAAAGAUGAAGCCCAACAUUUCCUCUCCAGCUGAAGCUUUGGCUCAAGACUGUCCAAAGGACUGUUAACUCUUGAGCCUGGGCCAAGCUGAAGACUCGGCAGCAAUCAAAGCCAUGGCAAGGACAGAGAGCUGAGGAGUUCCUGGGUCACCAGGGCUUUCUCCAGCAGGAAGCUGGAGCAGCAGUAAUGACAUGGAUGCAGGAUUCAUGGGGGGUGGGGAGACUGGCCCAGAGCUGUGCAUAAGACAGAAAUUGUGUCACAAGCACUUGUAGGGCUGGGCUCACCUCUGGCAGCUGCUGCUGAGAUACAAGUGUGCUUGGAAAUUGUAAGCAUUUCAGACAUGGGUAAAUUCAAGCCAAGGACUCUUUGCCAGAGUUUUAAUUCUAUUCCUCUCUCUCCAUUCACAUUGUCAUGAUUCCUUCCCAACUGAAAAUUUUGACAUUCAUGUUGGAAAUAAAUUGAGGACCCACUGCCUGGGCUAUGGUGUUUUAGUGUUUUCUUUGACCUUGUGCCUACCGUACACAUUUAUGCCUCUGGGAUUGCUACCAUGUUGUGUGUGACGGUCGUCUGGCUGGAAGCUGCUUUGUGAAAUAGAGGUUCUGGUUCACUGUGUCCAUAUUGUGU
rnacentral:lncRNA from 1 species